UGUCCAUAACGCUGGCCCGCUCGGUCGCGAGGGAGAUCUCGGACGGCGCGGAGAAGAAGGAGAGGCGCGGGCUGGAGAAGGAUUCUCGCCGGCCUCCGCCGCGAAGCCAUCGACCUCCGGCAGGAGGGAGGCGGCCUCGGUCUCAUUCUCGAGCGGCACCAAGCUCCCCGCCGCUGACCGGGCGUUGUCCCUGACGCUGGGCUGAUCGGUCGCGAGGGAGAUCUCGGCGGACCUGGGCGGGGUCGACGGCGCGGAGAAGAAGGAGAGGCACGGGCUGGAGAGUUUCCCGCUUGCUGUGAACCUGGGCGGGGUCCGUGCGUUUCUCUCUCGACCGCUGGAUUUAGUCUUUGGAGAUUUACUAAAAGAAAGAGGCAGGUUGCUUUCAACAUCCUCACCCCUGGAGGAUUUGUUCACUCGAGGAUCCAAGCUCCCUCCUCAUACUAUUCAUAUUCGACCGUUGAUGAUCAAGGUUGAAAAGGACCCGAAGCUUUUAGAUAUCAGGACCGUUGAUGCACUCGAAAUAGUACAAACAAGUAAUAAACCAAAGCUUGCAUAUCUUUCAAAGAUUUUGAUUGCACUUUUAAGCUAUGGCGGGUCCCUAAUGAAUUUCUUUUGGACAUGGUGGAGAAUGCUUUGGGAGAUGCAAAUAGUGUCUUCUCUAGUAAACGAGCAGCUCUAAGAGUUUUGGUGAAUCAUGGUGAGAAGGAUGGUUUCACUGCGGCCAGAAUGAUCUUAUCUGGGAUUCCUCUGGACGAAACAUACCUACAAAAUCGUCUGUCCAUCCUGAUGAAUGAUGAAAGGAAGAGUUUGAAAGGAGGAAGGAUUCCUAUUCCAGAUUCUUACUAUCUAAUAGGGACAGCCGAUCCCACAGGAAUUCUCGACAGACAGAAUGUGAGCUUGGACAUGAGGAGAUUCCACAAGCGGCUGCUUCAAGCCUAUGACUAUUCCUUCAAGAAAAUAAACGGGCAAAUUAGCUACAAUCAAACAACUGACUUGUUUAAGCUUUGCUAACUACUUUCUUCUCUUCACCUUCCUUAAAUAAUUGUCGAUAUUUCUUUCCAUUGACUGAAUGGUUGAAACUUGAAUAAAGUA